GGCGAACGCUGGCGGCGCGCUUAACACAUGCAAGUCGAACGGAAAGGCCUGCUUUCCCUUGUGGAUUGCGGGUACUCGAGUGGCGAACGGGUGAGUAACACGUGAGUGAUCUGCCCCCAACUUGGGUAUAAGCCUGGGAAACUGGGUCUAAUUCCCGAUAGGACUGCAGGGUGGUGCCUGUGGUGGAAAACGAUUUUCUAGUGGUUGGGGAUGAGCUCGCGGCCUAUCAGCUUGUUGGUGGGGUAAUGGCCUACCAAGGCGGUGACGGGUAGCCGGCCUGAGAGGGUGGACGGCCACAUUGGGACUGAGAUACGGCCCAGACUCCUACGGGAGGCAGCAGUGGGGAAUAUUGCACAAUGGGCGGAAGCCUGGUGCAGCGACGCCGCGUGGGGGAUGACGGCCUUCGGGUUGUAAACUCCUUUCGACCGCGAGGAAGCCACCUGGUUGGAAGGGUGGUGACGGUAGUGGUAGAAGAAGCACCGGCUAACUACGUG
rnacentral:rRNA from 1 species